UACGUAGGGUGCAAGCGUUGUCCGGAAUUAUUGGGCGUAAAGAGCUCGUAGGCGGUUUGUCGCGUCGGCUGUGAAAACCUGGGGCUCAACCCCGGGCCUGCAGCCGAUACGGGCAAACUAGAAUUCGGUAGGGGAGACUGGAAUUCCUGGUGUAGCGGUGAAAUGCGCAGAUAUCAGGAGGAACACCGGUGGCGAAGGCGGGACUCUGGGCCGAUAUUGACGCUGAGGAGCGAAAGCGUGGGGAGCAAACAGG
rnacentral:rRNA from 1 species